AAGGAGGAAGCCGAAAAUCCAUAAAAGAGUAGGCA
rnacentral:ncRNA from 1 species